GAUGUAAGGCUGUGUGACAUCUGUAGCCCCAUUGAUUGCCAAGGUUGACUCAGCUGAUCUGGCUAGGCGGGUAUCCCUUUCCUCCCUUACCUCUACAUGUGCAUUCCUCCUGAAACUGUACACUAGGUCAAAGAGGACGACCAUCCCUGAUAGAGGAGGACCGUUCUUACUUCUUCAGAGGUAUACGCUUGCACUCCCCUGCUAGAAAACUCCAAACAAGCUCUCAAAAAGCCUCUUUCACAGAUGAGUUAUAAGUUCUAGACCCUUUUUUUCUUCUGAGAAAGAAGAAUCUGAAA
rnacentral:snRNA from 1 species